GCAGCUCAAGUCUGCACAGUGUCCACCUCCAAGGGAAAACAUGACACCUCCCAAAAAUUAAACUUGUUCCAUAACUUCUGAAAUGAAAUCCAUCUGGGAUGACCCCAAAUGACAUUUUUCAUCUUGCUCAAGCUCUAGCUCAGCCCUUCUCUGAACAGUUGUGUCCCCACACCUGCCUUUUACUUCACAACUGCUCCCUCCUUUCCCCCAGUGAGUUCCCAGCCCAUCACAGUCUCCAUCACACUGCAGCCUUCCUUGAUGCCCCUCACCACGAGGAAGGCCAAGCCCCAGUCUCAGGGACUCAUCCUGUCAGUGGUUGAAGAGCAGCAAUGUCUGUCUGUGCCAGGGGCUCUUGGAUGUCUCUGUAUCCAUGGACAGAAGGGUCUGUCUGUGCCAGGGGCUCUUGGAUGUCUCUGUAUCCAUGGACAGAAGGGUCUGUCCUUGCAAAGGUUUCCAUAAUAUCUUGGUACCCAUGAGUAUGGAAUGAACACAGAGAGUGAAAGUGUCAGUCA